rnacentral:misc_RNA from 1 species
GAUGAAGAACGCAGCGAAAUGCGAUAAGUAAUGUGAAUUGCAGAAUUCAGUGAAUCAUCGAAUCUUUGAACGCACCUUGCGCCCUUUGGCUAUUCUGAAGGGCAUGCCUGUUUGAGCAUCAUGAACACCUCAACUCUCAUGGUUUGCCAUGAUGAGCUUGGACUUUGGGGGUCUUGCUGGCCUACGGUCAGCUCCUCUCAAAUGAAUCAGCUUGCCAGUGUUUGGUAGAGUCGCAGGUGUGAUAACUAUCUACGCUUGUGGUUUUCUGCCAGAUAACCUUCAGUGAUGGAGGUUCGCUGGAGCUUAUAAAUGUCUCUCCCCAGUGAGGACAGCUUUUUGAACGUUUGAUCUCAAAUCAGGUAGGACUACCCGCUGAACUUAAGCAUAUCAUUAAGCGGAGGA